AAUUACAAGAGGGCAGGGCUUCUGCAGAAGCUGAGCGGUGCUGGCUCAGAGCAGCCAGGGCUUAUCCAAGGAAGGUUCCAACUUCAACUCAUUUUAAACAAAAUGUACGAGAAGCCACAAAAUAUCUGAAAUGCGUAUUUCAGUAAAAGAGAAUCCACUGAGUCCUGCGGGCCAGACAGCACAGCCCCGAGGAGACUGGGCUUGCAGAAAGCCUCCCUAACCCCUCCACGCAGCCUCCACGCACCUCUCUGAAGAGUGACCCAUACCUCGUCACCCACUGGCUUCAAGAUCGCCACUGACCCCCCGCCUUUUCCUGCAAGGAGCACCGCAGCCCGCAGGGUCAGCUCCAUCCUCCGGAGUCCUCCGGAUGCAGCCCGGCCUGAAGUCCUUCCUGAACACCUGUCGUCAGGACAUCUGGCCCCGACAGGACCCUCCCUGCCCCUCUAGGCUCCAAGGCGCUGAGGAUCACGAGAGUGCCUGUCUGUCCAGUGGUGUCCCCCUGCCACAGCUGUCGCCCACCCACCUUCAAGCAGAAGCAGAGCAGAGGGUCGAGUCUCUGUCGCAUCAGCUUUAGAUUCCCGCCUCCCUGUCCUGGGCCGCUCGCCACACCUUCGUCCUGGCGGUUCCCGCCAGCUUGUUCACAAACCGAAGGCCUCGGGUUUCUCUCCCCAGACUGUCCCAGCGUCCCCUUCAGAGAGGAGGCUGGCGUCUGAAGUGCCCCGUCCCAGUUGGAAUUAGCCGCUUCGCCCUGGAAUCUAGCUUGCUCCCCUGGGUCUGUCACAAAUAGGGACCCGGCCGAAAUGUGUCAUCAUGCAAGACAGUCCUUCCUGGAACUCAAUCUGAGUGGCUUUUUGCAAAAACAGGAGACGAGCAGACAACAUCUUUCCCAACCUUGAUAACCACGUCAAGACGGGGCUCAGGCACUCCUGACCCUCCCCCAAUUAAAUAACCUCAAUUCCUUUCCUCAAAAGGAUCACCUGGAGCUCCCGUGGUGGCUCGGUAGUAACGAACCCAACUAGCAUCCCUGGCCUUGCUCAGUGGGUUAAGGAUCCAGUGUUGCCGUGAGCUGUGGUGUUGGUGGCAGAUGUGGCUCAGAUCUGGCUGAGUCUGAGCUGCAGCUUCAAUUCAACCCCUAGCCUGGGAACUUCCAUACACCAUGGAGCAGAGGCGCAGGGGUGAGACAUCCUGGAGGCCAGCUGGGAGGAGGCCUGUGCUUCCAGGAUGGGGCCCGGAGAGCAAGUCUUCAGUGCAGGUGGCCUGCUUCUCUCAGUCAACCAUGGGGACUGCUUAGAGGCUUGGAGCAGGGGAACAGCAGGGUCCCCGUUUUGACCCUGGGAUAUAAUGGCUCUGGCCUCAGUUGUAAUUGGGUCCGCGCUGUGUCCUUACGUAGCCAAAUGCCACCCUCCACGCCAAACUGUCACUCUUGUCUCAUUCCACCUUGCCCUCACCACAGGUCUGUGGCAUCACCUUUCUGAUGCACACAGACAACAGUCAACGGAGGGGUGACUUUUCUAGCAACUGUGCAUAUUGUGUUUUUGCUUGGUUGCAGCAUGACAGUGGAAUCUCUCAUAAUCAGCUUCAACUGGUUCCAAGCCAGGGGACCCCCGGGCACUUGCCCAGGAUGGUUGGAGUUCACGCCGGCUUAUGCUGCUGUUCUUGCUGGUGAAUGGUGUCCCCCGCUUCUCUCACAAAUGUCCUGCUUUGGAAAAUAAGUCAUAUGGUUACCUG
ensembl:lncRNA